rnacentral:rRNA from 1 species
UGGGGGAAGCCCUGAUGCAGCCAUGCCGCGUGUGUGAAGAAGGCCUUCGGGUUGUAAAGCACUUUCAGUAGGGAGGAAGGUAGUGUAGUUAACACCUGCACUAUUUGACGUUACCUACAGAAGAAGCACCGGCUAACUCCGUGCCAGCAGCCGCGGUAAUACGGAGGGUGCGAGCGUUAAUCGGAAUUACUGGGCGUAAAGCGCAUGCAGGCGGCCUGUUAAGUCAGAUGUGAAAGCCCCGGGGCUUAACCUCGGAAUUGCAUUUGAAACUGGCAGGCUAGAGUCUUGUAGAGGGGGUAGAAUUUCAGGUGUAGCGGUGAAAUGCGUAGAGAUCUGAAGGAAUACCAGUGGCGAAGGCGGCCCCCUGGACAAAGACUGACGCUCAGACUGCGAAAGCGUGGGGAGCCAAACAGGAUUAGAUACCCUGGUAG